rnacentral:tRNA from 1 species
GGACCGGAUGGAAGCNNAGCUCAGCUGGAUAGAGUACCUGACUACGAAUCAGGGGGUCGGGGGUUCGAAUCCUCCUCGGUCCGCCA